UAUCUGGGAGUUGUUCCGUAGUGAUUAGGUUGUUAUCAGUGUACUGGUAUACGUAGGACACGUGACAUCCCAACACUAUCUGGGAGUUGUUCCGUAGUGAUUAGGUUGUGGCAUCCCAACACUAUCUGGGAGUUGUUCCGUAGUGAUUAGGUUGUGGCAUCCCAACACUAUCUGGGAGUUGUUCCGUAGUGAUUAGGUUGUUAUCAGUGUACUGAUAUACGUAGGACACGUGACAUCCCAACACUAUCUGGGAGUUGUUCCGUAGUGAUUAGGUUGUUAUGAGUGUACUGGUAUACGUAGGACACGUGGCAUCCCAACACUAUCUGGGAGUUGUUCCGUAGUGAUUAGGUUGUGGCAUCCCAACACUAUCUGGGAGUUGUUCUGUAGUGAUUAGGUUGUGACAUCCCAACACUAUCUGGGAGUUGUUCCGUAGUGAUUAGGUUGUUAUCAGUGUACUGAUAUACGUAGGACACGUGACAUCCCAACACUAUCUGGGAGUUGUUCCGUAGUGAUUAGGUUGUGGCAUCCCAACACUAUCUGGGAGUUGUUCUGUAGUGAUUAGGUUGUUAUCAGUGUACUGAUAUACGUAGGACACGUGACAUCCCAACACUAUCUGGGAGUUGUUCCGUAGUGAUUAGGUUGUUAUCAGUGUACUGAUAUACGUAGGACACGUGGCAUCCCAACACUAUCUGGGAGUUGUUCCGUAGUGAUUAGGUUGUUAUCAGUGUACUGAUAUACGUAGGACACGUGACAUCCCAACACUAU